rnacentral:tRNA from 1 species
GCCCCUGGUUAGCUCAGUUGGUAGAGCGCUCCACUGGAAAUGGAGAGGUCCCGGGUUCGAUACCCGGACCAGGCG